rnacentral:tRNA from 1 species
GGAGUAGUCGCAUAACGGCAAUGUAAUCGCCUCCAGAGCGAUUGAUGGGGGUUCGACUCCCUCCUACUCCA